UGCCAGCCGCCGCGGUAAUACGGAGGGUGCAAGCGUUACUCGGAAUCACUGGGCGUAAAGAGAGUGUAGGCGGACUAUUAAGUCGGGUGUGAAAUCCUGCGGCUCAACCGAGGAACUGCACUCGAUACUGGCGGGCUUGAGUCCGCGAGGGGUGAACGGAAUUCCUGGUGUAGCGGUGGAAUGCGUAGAUAUCAGGAAGAACACCGAUGGCGAAGGCGGUUCACUGGCGCGGCACUGACUCUGAGGGACGAAAGCAUGGGUAGCGAACAGGAUUAGAUA
rnacentral:rRNA from 1 species